UACAGAGGGGGCAAGCGUUGUUCGGAAUUACUGGGCGUAAAGGGCGCGUAGGCGGCCUGUUAAGUCGAACGUGAAAUCCCUGGGCUCAACCCAGGAACUGCGUCCGAUACUGGCAGGCUUGAAUUCGGGAGAGGGAUGCGGAAUUCCAGGUGUAGCGGUGAAAUGCGUAGAUAUCAGGAGGAACACCGGUGGCGAAGGCGGGUCUCUGGGCCGAUACUGACGCUGAGGAGCGAAAGCGUGGGAGCGAACAGG
rnacentral:rRNA from 1 species